rnacentral:ncRNA from 1 species
AAAUUCUAGAUGGGCUACAGAGAGCCGCUUACGCGGCACUGUGAUGUAGCCUGACGGUGU